rnacentral:rRNA from 1 species
GGAGUUAGCCGGUGCUUCUUCUGUGAGUGAUGUCCUUCCUGCCGGCUAUUAACCCGCAGGCCUUCUUCCUCACUGAAAGUGCUUUACAACCCGAAGGCCUUCUUCACACACGCGGCAUGGCUGGAUCAGGGUUGCCCCCAUUGUCCAAUAUUCCCCACUGCUGCCUCCCGUAGGAGUCUGGGCCGUGUCUCAGUCCCAGUGUGGCUGAUCAUCCUCUCAGACCAGCUACGGAUCGUCGCCUUGGUGAGCCGUUACCUCACCAACCAGCUAAUCCGACAUAGGCUCAUCCGAUAGCGCGAGGCCCGAAGGUCCCCCGCUUUCCCCCGUAGGGCGUAUGCGGUAUUAGCCUGGGUUUCCCCCAGGUUAUCCCCCACUACCGGGCAGAUUCCUAUGCAUUACUCACCCGUCCGCCGCUCGCCACCAGGGAGCAAGCUCCCCGUGCUGCCGCUCGACUUGCAUGUGUUAGGCCUGCCGCCAGCGUUCAAUCUGAGCCAUAAUCAAACUCUGA